rnacentral:rRNA from 1 species
UACGAGUGCGUCGAGCGUUAUCCGGAAUCAUUGGGCGUAAAGGGUGUGUAGGUGGCGUUGUUAGUCUCUCGUUAAAUUCUUCGGCUCAACCGGGGGCAUGCGGGGGAAACGGCAAUGCUUGAGGAUGGUAGGGGUCUCUGGAACUCUAGGUGUAGCGGUGAGAUGCGUUGAUAUCUAGGGGAACACCAAAAGCGAAGGCAGGAGACUGGACCAUUCCUGACACUGAAACACGAAAGCGUGGGUAGCGAAUGGG